rnacentral:rRNA from 1 species
UACGGACGGGGCAAGCGUUGUUCGGAAUCAUUGGGCGUAAAGGGCGCGUAGGUGGUUCUGUAUGUCUACUGUGAAAGCGUACGGCUCAACCGUAUUUUGUCGGUGGAAACUGCAGGACUUGAGGCUGGGAGGGGCUGGUGGAAUUCCCUGUGUAGCGGUGAAAUGCGUAGAGAUGGGGGAGAACACUCGUGGCGAAGGCGGCCAGCUAGACCAGUUCUGACACUGAGGCGCGACAGCGUGGGGAGCAAACAGG